UAGGGAAUCUUCCACAAUGGACGCAAGUCUGAUGGAGCAACGCCGCGUGAGUGAAGAAGGUUUUCGGACCGUAAAGCUCUGUUGUUGGUGAAGAAGGAUAGAGGUAGUAACUGGCCUUUAUUUGACGGUAAUCAACCAGAAAGUCACGGCUAACUACGUGCCAGCAGCCGCGGUAAUACGUAGGUGGCAAGCGUUGUCCGGAUUAUUGGGCGUAAAGCGAGCGCAGGCGGAAGAAUAAGUCUGAUGUGAAAGCCCUCGGCUUAACCGAGGAAUUGCAUCGGAAACUGUUUUCUUGAGUGCAGAAGAGGAGAGUAGAACUCCAUGUGUAGCGGUGGAAUGCGUAGAUAUAUGGAAGAAUACCAGUGGCGAAGGCGGCUCUCUGGUCUGCAACUGACGCUGAGGCUCGAAAGCAUGGGUAGCGAACAGGAUUAGAUACCCUGGUAGUCCAUGCCGUAAACGAUGAGUGCUAAGUGUUGGGAGGCUUCCGCCUCUCAGUGCUGCAGCUAACGCAUUAAGCACUCCGCCUGGGGGAGUACGACCGCAAGGUU
rnacentral:rRNA from 1 species